UUCGGUUUGGUUUAUACUAAAC
rnacentral:siRNA from 1 species